GUGCUCGCUUCGGCAGCACAUAUACUAAAAUUGGAACAAUACAAGAGAAGGUGAGCAUGGCCCCUGCACAAGGAUGACACACAAAUUCAUGAAGUGGUCCAUAUUUUU
rnacentral:snRNA from 1 species